UAAUAAUUAAAUUGUGACACCUUGAACUUGCGGCUGACACCAUGAAUCACAGUGGAAUUCUCCAAAUGGAAUGCAGCCACACCUCAGCUUCUGUGCUGCGUGCUGCCACUGAGGACGUUCAAUACCAUUGAAGCCGUCAGAUAGAGGAUGAAGACGGAUGGCCUCUUGGCACCCAUCUCUUUGGCACGAACGAUGUGGGGAAACGUGAAUGGAAAUGGGGAACUGCUGCUGGCACCCAGAAGUCAUCCGGUCUGGAUGAAGCCAAGUCACACGAAAGUGCCUCCAAUUAUUCUUCAUAAAUUCCUCUGAGGUUUCACUUCUUGUCCACACAAGACUUUAAUAAAAUGUGGCAUCUAACUGAAUAAA